rnacentral:lncRNA from 1 species
CCUUGAUGUUGAGUUCCGGUUUUGCUUUUUCCUUGCUUGCCCUGUGAGUCAGGGUGCAAACACUUGGGUUGAUGUCUGCUCCAAAGGACAGGGAGCUUGAGAAGUGGAAAGGGGAGACACCAGGAUUCUACUCCAAACAUUCUUAGAGGAUGCAGGCACCAAAUGAAUGAAGAAGAGGAUGGUCACUGAAGGUACCAAGGAAGUCACAGGAGAGGAGAGAAACCUCAAGGCUAACCUUUUCUUGCCUUGUCUAUAAGGAUUACCCUCUGGCCCCAGGCUAUCAGAGUACAGAGCUUACCUAUCUUAGGAGAAGCAACUGGUAGCAACAUUCUGUUUCAAAA